GACGAACGCUGGCGGCGUGCUUAACACAUGCAAGUCGAACGGAAAGGCCCUGCUUUUGUGGGGUGCUCGAGUGGCGAACGGGUGAGUAACACGUGAGUAACCUGCCCUUGACUUUGGGAUAACUUUAGGAAACUGGGGCUAAUAUCGGAUAGGAGCUCCUGCUGCAUGGUGGGGGUUGGAAAGUUUCGGCGGUUGGGGAUGGACUCGCGGCUUAUCAGCUUGUUGGUGGGGUAGUGGCUUACCAAGGCUUUGACGGGUAGCCGGCCUGAGAGGGUGACCGGCCACAUUGUGACUGAGAUACGGCCCAGACUCCUACGGGAGGCAACAGUGGGGAAUAUUGCACAAUGAGCGGAAGCCUGAGGCAGCAACGCCGCGUGCGGGAUGACGGCCUUCUGGUUGUAAACCACUUUCGCCUUUGACGAAGCGUUAGUGACGGUAAUGAGUAAAGAAGCACCGGCUAACUACGUG
rnacentral:rRNA from 1 species